GACGAACGCUGGCGGCGUGCGUAACACAUGCAAGUCGAACGAGAGAGUGAGAGAAGCUUGCUUUUCUUACGAUCGAGUGGCAAACGGGUGAGUAACGCGUAAACAACCUGCCCCGCAGAUGGGGACAACAGCUGGAAACGGCUGCUAAUACCGAAUACGGUCCUCUUAGCGCAUGGUAAGAGGAAGAAAGGGUGGCCUCUGGAACAAGCUACCGCUGUGGGAGGGGUUUGCGUCUGAUUAGCUGGUUGGAGGGGUAACGGCCCACCAAGGCGACGAUCAGUAGCCGGUCUGAGAGGAUGAACGGCCACAUUGGAACUGAGACACGGUCCAGACUCCUACGGGAGGCAGCAGUGGGGAAUCUUCCGCAAUGGGCGAAAGCCUGACGGAGCAACGCCGCGUGAGUGAAGACGGCCUUCGGGUUGUAAAGCUCUGUUAUAGGGGACGAACGGCCGGGUAGCGAAGAGUACCCGGCAGGACGUACCUAAGAGAAGCCCC
rnacentral:rRNA from 1 species